GACGAACGCUGGCGGCGUGCUUAACACAUGCAAGUCGAACGGAAAGGCCCUGCUUUUGUGGGGUGCUCGAGUGGCGAACUGGUGAGUAACACGUGAGUAACCUGCCCUUGACUGUGGGAUAACUUCAUGAAACUGGGGCUAAUACCGGAUAGGAGCUCCUGCUUCAUGGUGGGGGUUGGAAAGUUUCGGCGGUUGGUGAUGGACUCGCGGCUCAUCAGCUUGUUGGUGGGGUAGUGUCUUACCAAGGCUUUGACGGGUAGCCGGCCUGAGAGGGUGACCGGCCACAUUGGGACUGAGAUGAGGCACAGACUACUACGGGAGGCAGCAGUGGGGAAUAUUGCACUAUGGGAGGAAGCCUGAUGCAGCAAAGCCGCGUGCGGGAUGACGGCCUUCGGGUUGUAAACCGAUUUCGCCUGUGCCGAAGCGUGAGUGACGGUAAUGGGUAAAGAAGCACCGGCUAACUACGUG
rnacentral:rRNA from 1 species